ACGGGUGAGUAACACGUGGGAACGUACCCUUCGGUUCGGAAUAACGCUGGGAAACUAGCGCUAAUACCGGAUACGCCCUUAUGGGGAAAGGUUUACUGCCGAAGGAUCGGCCCGCGUCUGAUUAGCUAGUUGGUGGGGUAAUGGCCUACCAAGGCGACGAUCAGUAGCUGGUCUGAGAGGAUGAUCAGCCACACUGGGACUGAGACACGGCCCAGACUCCUACGGGAGGCAGCAGUGGAGAAUAUUGGACAAUGGGCGCAAGCCUGAUCCAGCCAUGCCGCGUGAGUGAUGAAGGCCUUAGGGUUGUAAAGCUCUUUUGUCCGGGACGAUAAUGACGGUACCGGAAGAAUAAGCCCCGGCUAACUUCGUGCCAGCAGCCGCGGUAAUACGAAGGGGGCUAGCGUUGCUCGGAAUCACUGGGCGUAAAGGGCGCGUAGGCGGCCAUUCAAGUCGGGGGUGAAAGCCUGUGGCUCAACCACAGAAUUGCCUUCGAUACUGUUUGGCUUGAGUAUGGCAGAGGUUAGUGGAACUGCGAGUGUAGAGGUGAAAUUCGUAGA
rnacentral:rRNA from 1 species